rnacentral:rRNA from 1 species
GAUGAACGCUGGCGGCGUGCUUAACACAUGCAAGUCGAACGGGAUCGGCUGGAGCUUGCUCCGGCCGUGAGAGUGGCGAACGGGUGAGUAAUGCGUGACCGACCUGCCCCAUACACCGGAAUAGCUCCUGGAAACGGGUGGUAAUGCCGGAUGCUCCGACAUGACGCAUGUCGUGUCGGGAAAGAUUCAUCGGUAUGGGAUGGGGUCGCGUCCUAUCAGCUUGAUGGCGGGGUAACGGCCCACCAUGGCUUCGACGGGUAGCCGGCCUGAGAGGGCGACCGGCCACAUUGGGACUGAGAUACGGCCCAGACUCCUACGGGAGGCAGCAGUGGGGAAUAUUGCACAAUGGGCGCAAGCCUGAUGCAGCGACGCCGCGUGCGGGAUGACGGCCUUCGGGUUGUAAACCGCUUUUGACUGGGAGCAAGCCCUUCGGGGUGAGUGUACCUU